rnacentral:lncRNA from 1 species
UACAUAAUCAGACACAGGGAAACACCUGUUCCAAACUUCAUUCCAGUAGGUUGGAGAUUGGCAAGGCCUACUUUAGAAUAGACUGAUGACUCAAGGGAAGGUAUAUACCAUCACAAAGAAAGAUGCUGAAGCUUCUCAAGACAUAAUCCAAUGUAUGUUUACUAUCUCUGUGCCUUGGCUAGAGUCCUAAUAGACCGAGGAU